rnacentral:ncRNA from 2 species
CAAGUCCUUCACGGAAGGAGUAGCGAUCCACACCGGCCCCGAGUCAUGCGCGGGUCGUCGCGAGGCGACGCGUGAAGCGUUGACAGGGGAACGCAUAGGCCAGCCAUUGAGCGGCGAAAUUCCAAUCAUUCGGAGUGCCGAUGCCCUCGUUCCGGCAGAAGGCAAUAUGGUCGGGCACGCGAUCGCGAGUGCCCGAUCGGCUCCGCGCCCUCUGAGACCC